AUGGCCACUACAAGGAUUACUGCUCUCACAGUGAUAUUUUCACUGGCUUUUUUCAUCCUUACAUCAGAUAUGUGCAUCAAAUUAGAAGGAAGAGAACUUGAUGCAAAACCUUGUAAGUAUGAUGCAGAUUGUCAACCUGGAUGUCCUUCUGGUCAAAAAGGAUGUUGCAUUAACGGGAGAUGUUGGUGUUAUUCUCCACCAGUUUCUGCUAAUAACAUUCCUGGUGGAACAUCCCAAGAUGCAAUUUGUUUUGCACACUAG